GUAUAUAACGAACCUGAGAAGAGUGACUGCACUGGUAGAAGUGUGCAAAGCCGAAGAAGGUACUAGAAACAAAGCUAGCUACUACGAUGAGGAAGUGGACGCUCCCUUCCGCUCUUCUUCUCCUUUCUCUCCUCCUCCUAUUUGCAGAUCAAGGUCGCAAGCUUCAGGCAAAUGCCGAAGCUGAUUCUGACGAGCUUGUAGAUCCACCUAAGGUUGAGGACAAGAUCGGUGCCGUUCCUAACGGUCUUUCCACAGAUUCAGAUGUCGCCAAGAGGGAGGCGGAGUCGAUCUCGAAGAGAUCUCUUCGCAACAACGCGCAGAAGUUUGAGUUCCAGGCCGAAGUUUCUCGGCUUAUGGAUAUUCUCAUCAACUCUCUCUACAGCAACAAGGAUAUUUUCCUCAGGGAGUUGAUCUCUAAUGCUUCUGACGCGCUGGACAAGAUUAGGUUUCUCUCUCUCACCGAUAAGGAGAUUCUGGGGGAAGGUGAUACUGCCAAGCUCGAAAUCCAGAUUAAGUUGGACAAGGAGAAGAAAAUCCUUUCCAUCCGAGACAGGGGUAUUGGUAUGACAAAGGAGGAUUUAAUAAAGAAUUUGGGGACCAUAGCAAAAUCUGGAACCUCAGCGUUUCUUGAGAAAAUGCAAUCAAGUGGUGAUCUCAAUCUUAUUGGGCAGUUUGGAGUUGGUUUCUACUCUGUGUACCUUGUGGCUGACUAUGUUGAAGUAAUUAGCAAACAUAAUGACGAUAAACAGCAUGUGUGGGAAUCUAAAGCUGAUGGAGCAUUUGCGAUUUCUGAAGAUACAUGGAAUGAACCACUGGGACGUGGUACUGAGAUUAGGCUACACCUCAGAGAUGAAGCUGGGGAGUACUUGGAGGAGCAUAAGCUUAAGGAAUUGGUAAAAAAAUACUCUGAAUUUAUUAACUUCCCUAUUUAUCUCUGGGCAAGCAAAGAGGUUGAUGUGGAGGUCCCUGCUGAUGAAGAUGAUGAAUCAUCUGAAAGCAGCUCUGAGGAAGAAAAUAAAGAUGAUGAUGCUGAGAAAAGUGAAGAUGACGAAGAGAAGCCCAAGACAAAGACAGUGAAGGAAACGACUUAUGAAUGGGAACUUCUAAAUGAUGUGAAAGCUAUAUGGCUGCGAAAUCCAAAGGAGGUUUCAGAAGAAGAGUACACCAAAUUCUACCAUACUCUUGCCAAGGAUUUCGGUGAUGAGAAACCUUUAGCAUGGAGUCACUUCAAUGCUGAAGGCGAUGUUGAGUUCAAGGCAGUGCUUUUUGUGCCACCUAAAGCCCCUCAUGAUUUAUAUGAGAGUUAUUACAACUCUAACAAAUCCAAUCUGAAGUUGUAUGUUAGACGAGUAUUUAUUUCAGAUGAAUUUGAUGAACUGUUGCCUAAAUACCUCAGCUUCUUGAAGGGCCUUGUUGAUUCUGACACGUUGCCACUUAAUGUCUCCCGUGAAAUGCUUCAACAACACAGUAGCCUGAGGACAAUCAAGAAGAAACUUAUCAGGAAAGCCCUUGAUAUGAUCCGUAGGAUUGCUGAUGAGGAUCCAGAUGAGUCCACUGACAAAGAUAAGAAAGAAGAGGUAUCAUCUGACAAUGAUGAGAAAAGAGGUCAAUAUGCUAAGUUCUGGAAUGAGUUUGGAAAGUCCAUCAAACUUGGCAUCAUUGAAGAUGCUACUAACAGAAACCGUCUGGCAAAACUGCUGAGAGUUGAGACCUCAAAGUCUGAAGGUAAAUUGACGUCUCUUGAUCAGUACAUCUCCAGAAUGAAAUCUGGACAAAAGGAUAUCUUCUACAUAACUGGAACUAACAAAGAACAACUGGAAAAAUCUCCUUUCCUUGAGCGGCUUAGGAAGAAAAAUUACGAGGUUAUUUACUUCACUGAUCCAGUUGAUGAAUACUUGAUGCAAUAUCUUAUGGAUUAUGAAGACAAAAAAUUCCAAAAUGUGUCCAAGGAAGGUCUGAAAAUUGGAAAGGACGCCAAAGCCAAGGAACUAAAGGAAUCCUUCAAGGAUCUCACAAAGUGGUGGAAAAGUGCACUUUCCAGUGAAAAUGUUGAUGAUGUGAAGAUAUCCAACCGUUUGGAUAACACUCCUUGUGUGGUGGUGACUUCGAAAUUUGGUUGGAGUGCUAACAUGGAGAGAAUAAUGCAGGCACAAACUUUAUCAGAUGCUAGCAAGCAAGCAUACAUGCGUGGCAAGAGGGUUCUUGAAAUCAAUCCUAGGCACCCUAUUAUCAAGGAGCUCAGGGAGCGUGUAGUAAAGAACCCUGAGGAUGAGAGUGUGAAGCAAACAGCACAGCUGAUGUAUCAAACUGCUCUCUUUGAAAGUGGUUUCCUGCUAAAUGACCCCAAGGAUUUUGCAUCUCGCAUUUAUGACUCAGUGAAGUCCAGCUUGGAUAUUAGUCCUGAAGCAACUGUGGAAGAGGAGGAAGAAGCUGAAGAAGUUGAGGCCGAGAGUGAGGCAAAGGACGGUGCAUCUGCUGAUGCUGAUGUGAAGGACGAGUUGUAGAUUUUAAGGCGGACAUUUCCGUACUGACUUAAGUUCCCCUUUUCUUUGUUACUUGGUCUUUAGCAAUUUGAGAAGCCCCUUUCAGAAUGAUUUUUGCUUCCAUAAGAAAGUCUAAUAGAGAGAAACAUUAGUCGUAAGUUACUGUAGUCACUUUAUCCCAUGGAAUUUCGCUUAGCAUUUUAGUACACGGUUGAAGAAAAUUACGCUGUAUUUUUAUGUGGAAAACUGCAUCAUGGCUUAUUUACAAUGACCAGCAAACAUCCUUUAUCCCUUUUUUAUUUAUUCCAUGGUGUCCGAUGGCAUCACGUUGGGGCAAUAGAUCUACUGACACACCCCGUUGUGGGUAUUUAUCCAUC